rnacentral:lncRNA from 1 species
UUAUUGAACCAUAAAAAGGUGAAAAGUCUCUGUGACUUCUCUGUGUAGCGGUCUGUAUAAUAAGGAAGAACUGAAGGAAGCUACCAGACCAAUUAAGAGAUUUUAUCUAAAGGCAGAGUAAUGCUAAGGGCAGUGGCACUGACAAAAGUGGAGGAAAAAGUCUGUGAUCAUUUGGGAGACAGAAUAGGAAGUGCUUGGUCAUGAGAUGUGAAAGAAAAGGGGAAGCAGAGGAAAAACAGACCUGCUCAGGUUCUGCUGGUGAAGACUUGGUACGUAGUGGUGCCUUCCUCCUGGCAGAGAAUGUAGGAGGAGAAAUGGAGAAUGGAGGAAGCAACUGAAGCCAUGGGCGUGGAGGUGAUUGCUUUGAGAAGUUGUGUACAGUAAGGAGAAGUGGGAAGAAAGAAGAUCUGGAGAAUAGGGUGAUUUACACGGCAUUAAGUGAAGCCUGCAAAAGUGAGCACUGGGAGUCAAGAGACCUGCAUACGAAUAAGGAAUGGCUGCUCCUGAGUGACAAAGGGAGUAAAAAACCACAGCCAUGGCUCGGGAGACCAGUGAACCUCCAGAAGAGUCCAGUGAGUCCAGAAGCCCUUUGGAUGCUGGUCAGAGGCUCCUUUUGGGCAGAGAUCACAGCAGCAGCCAACAGAUCUGGAGAAGUCCUUAGAGUUCUCAUGGACAGAGCUUCUGAAGGCAACUUACACAAGACCUUGUCUUUGCUGGUUUUAUGAUCCUCUGCAGAUGGCUCUAUUCUCAUUAUCUCAGCCACCUUUCACUUCCUAUCAGUUCAUUUCAGGUCUCUCAUGAUCCCAGGCAGCAGUAGUUAUCACUUGAGUUCAUUCAUAUAUGUUUAACUCUUUGGGGAUGGGGGGACAACUCACUGUGGACUUAAUUCUACUGGAGAUGAGUGACCACAUUUUAAGACAACAGGAUCACAAAUUAUCAUAUAUCAUCAGGGCAGACAAUAGCUACCACCUGGGGCUGAAAGCAGGUAACUCCAUUUAUUCUGAAAACAUUCUGUCUUGAUUAUGGUGCCAGUUGCUGCGAGGGACUUCCUUUCCACCACCUGUUUUUCACAAGGUUUGAGUCUGAACUGCGAAUAGUCUACUGAUUUCUGGGUGAAGGGACUGACUGCACCAUCCUAGCCUGUCAGAGAACUUUCCCCAGUACUUCCACUGUAAGAGUUUUCCACCUUGUCCAGAACUACAGUCCAUUAAUCCCCUCAUUUUCUCUCUUAAGAGAAUAAACAGGCCAGGCAUUGUGGCUCA